GCCUCUCCCCCAUUUCUAAAUAGUAUCAAACAUGUUGAAGAUGGAAGUGGUAGUACCUCCACCUACCAUGGAUUUCGACUUCAAUGAUGCAAGACCUAUGCCAUUCUUGAGCGCUCCUUCUACUCCCAAACGUUUUGGCGAUUGCUCCCUCAGUGCUCCCAGUAGUCCUUCACGGUUCGCCGACUUCUAUCGUCGUUUUGAUGAAUUCGCCUCGGAUGCAAACUCUACACCUGUAUCGCCCAAGGCUGCUGCUGCGCCUAAUAAUAGUGGUGGAGAUGAUUUCGCUUUUGAUUUCAGGUCUGAACUGCAAGAGAAUUCUCUCUCCGCUGAAGAACUUUUUGACGGUGGCAAAAUCCGGCCCUUGAAGCCUCCUCCUAGAUUACAGACGGAGGAGAGAAGUCCGCUUUUAUCACCGAGGUCACCCAGAUCACCUAUAGCUCAAGGGAAAAGGAUUAUAAGUGAGGUUUUUUCUCCGAGAAAGAAGAAAGAUUCAGAUCCGUUUGCUAUUGCUGUUGAAAAUACUCGAAAGAGAACCGAGAAUGAUGGUCGAAGGAGAACUGAAAAUGAUAGAGGUAGAGAGAGAGGUCCAGCGUUAGCAUCGAGUUCCAGCCGCAGAGCUACAAGAUCGCUUUCUCCAUAUAGAGUUUCAGAAUAUCCGUGGGAAGAAGAAGAAAGAACGAUACGAGAAACCACCAAACAAACAGCAGCUCCCUAUUCAAAAGCUUCACUGUCAUCAAAUUCUUCUUCUUCUUCUUCUUCUUCUU
rnacentral:misc_RNA from 1 species